UACGUAGGGGGCAAGCGUUGUCCGGAAUCAUUGGGCGUAAAGAGCGUGUAGGCGGCCCGAUAAGUCCGCUGUAAAAGUCCAGGGCUCAACCCUGGAAAGCCGGUGGAUACUGUCGGGCUAGAGUCCGGAAGAGGCGAGUGGAAUUCCUGGUGUAGCGGUGAAAUGCGCAGAUAUCAGGAAGAACACCCGUGGCGAAGGCGGCUCUCUGGGACGGUACUGACGCUGAGACGCGAAAGCCAGGGGAGCAAACGGG
rnacentral:rRNA from 1 species